rnacentral:rRNA from 1 species
AACGAACGCUGGCGGCAUGCCUAACACAUGCAAGUCGAACGAGACCUUCGGGUCUAGUGGCGCACGGGUGCGUAACGCGUGGGAACCUGCCCUUAGGUUCGGAAUAACUCCCCGAAAGGGGUGCUAAUACCGGAUAAUGUCUUCGGACCAAAGAUUUAUCGCCUUUGGAUGGGCCCGCGUUGGAUUAGCUAGUUGGUAGGGUAAAAGCCUAUCAAGGCGACGAUCCAUAGCUGGUCUGAGAGGAUGAUCAGCCACACUGGGACUGAGACACGGCCCAGACUCCUACGGGAGGCAGCAGUGGGGAAUAUUGGACAAUGGGCGAAAGCCUGAUCCAGCAAUGCCGCGUGAGUGACGAAGGCCUUAGGGUUGUAAAGCUCUUUUACCCGGGAUGAUAAUGACAGUACCGGGAGAAUAAGCUCCGGCUAACUCCGUG